AUUGAACGCUAGCGGGAUGCUUUACACAUGCAAGUCGAACGGCAGCGCGGACUUCGGUCUGGCGGCGAGUGGCGAACGGGUGAGUAAUGUAUCGGAACGUGCCCAGUAGCGGGGGAUAACUACGCGAAAGCGUAGCUAAUACCGCAUACGCCCUACGGGGGAAAGCAGGGGAUCGUAAGACCUUGCACUAUUGGAGCGGCCGAUAUCGGAUUAGCUAGUUGGUGAGGUAACGGCUCACCAAGGCGACGAUCCGUAGCUGGUUUGAGAGGACGACCAGCCACACUGGGACUGAGACACGGCCCAGACUCCUACGGGAGGCAGCAGUGGGGAAUUUUGGACGAUGGGGGCAACCCUGAUCCAGCCAUCCCGCGUGUGCGAUGAAGGCCUUCGGGUUGUAAAGCACUUUUGGCAGGAAAGAAACGUCGCGGGCUAAUACCCCGUGGAACUGACGGUACCUGCAGAAUAAGCACCGGCUAACUACGUG
rnacentral:rRNA from 1 species